UUAAUUAAUUUGGCAGUAUUUUUUAAAAUUAGAGGAUUUUGUUAUGUAAUAGAUAAUACACUUUAUAAUAUAUUUAAUUUAUUAUUAUUGUAUAUUGUUGUCUUUAGUUAAUUUUAAAAAAAUUAUUAAUUAAUAUUAUUUUUAUAAUUUAAGUCAAAUCAAAAUGCAUAUUAUAAUUAAAAUUUAAAUGAAAUACAUUUUAUUUAUAAAUUAUGAAUAUAAAUUUGUAAUAAUUUAUUGAAAUUGGAUUUAAAAGUAUAAUUUAAUAAAUAUUAAAUUUGAAUUUAAUUAAAAAUAUGUCAAAUUGCCCCGUCGUUUUUAAUUUAAAUUAAAAUAAGUCGAACAGGUUA
rnacentral:rRNA from 1 species